AAAGGCACAAUCGCUCGCAGGCAAGGAGCGAUCGGAGCCUCGGAAUAUCGUCUUCCAACCCCUCUGCACACAUCCUUUGUGCCACUAGUCCGUUCUUCCGAGAUUACGGCACACGCCCGAGCCCCAAACCUCUCUCUGCCCAAGAUGCCCCUCUAAAGCCGUGCAUCCGCCAGCUGGCUGGCGCCCCUUCCUGGGCUGGCGGCCACGAAGCGACUCCGCUCCCCUGUAGCUCGAAUAGGGAAUCCUGAGGUCCCAAGACAGAUGCCUCUUCUCAUCCUACCUGGGGACUCGGUUCAGUGCCACCAAAGGAAUACUGCCACCAACACUGCCACAUCCCUGCCCUUGGAAUUAAGGCAGCAAGGGAAGCCAUGCUGAGCGAGGGCCAGCCUCUCUCGCCCUGCCCAAGGAGGGCUCCUGUGUCGGUUUCCACCCUGGGAAAGGAGUCUUGAAGGUAGGAACUUCUGAGGAAAUCUUGUCAUCAAGACAGGAGCUACCUCAAGAUUCUACUCUGGUUUUUUGUUGUUGUUGUUUGUUUUUCUGGCAGUCCUGGAGAUUGAACUUGGAGUCUCACUCAUGCUGGGUAAGUACUUUAGCCACUGAGCUACAGCCCUAGUGCAAGAUUCCAUCCAAGCCCCGUGUACCCUUCAGCAGCCACUCCAUACCCUUCCAUCUGGCCAGAAUUUUUAAGUAUCUCCGGGGACCUUUAAGUCAUAACAUAUAUGAAGUCCAACUAUUUCUGGGAGCUAAACCACUAGACGAAUUAGAUUCAUUUUGCCCUUAGAAAAACACAGGAUGCUGGAGAGACGCCUCAGUGGUUAAGACCACUGGCUGCUCUUCCAGAGGUCCUGAGUUCAAUUCCCAGCAACCACAUGGUGUCUCACAACCAUUCUAAUGGGCUCUGAUACUCUCUUGUGCCAUGUAGUCAUACAUACAGAUAGUGUGCUCAUAUGUAUAAACAAAUCUUAAAAAAAGAAGCUGGGCAGUGAUGGCACAUGCCUUUGAUCCCAGCACUUCAGAGUCAGAGGCAGGCAAUCUCUCUCUCUCUCUCUCUGUCUCUUUUUAGAUUUAUGUAUGUAAGUAUACAGUAUUCUGCCUGUAUGUAUGCAUGCAGACCAGAAGAGGGCACCAGAUCUCAUCAUAGAUGGUUAUGAGCCACCAUGUGCAUGUGGUUGCUGUGAAUUGAACUCAGGACCUUUGUAAGAACAGCCAGUGCUCUUAACUUCUGAGCCAUCUCUCCAGUAGAUCUCUAUGAGUUCGAGGCCAACCUACUCUACAGAGUGAGUUCCAGGACGGUCAGAGACAGAAACCUUG